CGCGAUUCGCCCUUCGGGGUGCAGCAGGCGCGAAAACUUUGCAAUACACGAAAGUGUGACAGGGCUAUCCCGAGUGCCAUCCGCUGAGGAAGGCUUUUACCCAGUCUAGAACGCUGGGGGAAUAAGGAGAGGGCAAGUCUGGUGUCAGCCGCCGCGGUAAUACCAGCUCUCCGAGUGGUGUGGAUGUUUAUUGGGCCUAAAGCAUCCGUAGCUGGCUGAGUUAGUCCCUUGUUAAAUCCACCGAAUUAAUCGUUGGAUUGCGGGGGAUACUGCUCGGCUAGGGGACGAGAGAGGCAGACGGUAUUUCCGGGGUAGGGGUGAAAUCCUAUAAUCCCGGGAAGACCACCAGUGGCGAAGGCUGUCUGCUAGAACGCGCCCGACGGUGAGGGAUGAAAGCUGGGGGAGCGAACCGGAUUAGAUACCCGGGUAGUCCCAGCUGUAAACGAUGCAGGCUAGGUGUUUGGACGGCCACGUGCCGUUCUAGUGCCGCAGGGAAGCUGUUAAGCCUGCCGCCUGGGGAGUACGAUCGCAAGAUUGAAACUUAAAGGAAUUGGCGGGGGAGCAC
rnacentral:rRNA from 1 species